AUGGCCGAUGCGUGUGAAAGUGUAGUAUCUGUUCUUAUAAGUUUAUUAUCCUAUACGGGUUGUAUUUGAACCCAAGAUAUUAAAUUUAUUUUUGCAAAUUUGACAUAUAGUGGUUAAAGCCUGCUUCGCCUCCGCUGCGGGUCGGCCCGGUAUUGCGCUAUCUUCAGGAUCGGCCCAUGUAUG